CCGGACGCCGCUGAGUCCCGCGGGCUGCGUGGACUUUAUAAUCCUGGCCGACGCUGAUUGGUUCACAGGGAUCGCGGCAGCCCUUGGAAGUGAGAAUUGCCAGCGCGUCAUCAGUAUCCGGGCAGAAGGACCUGACACAGAAGUCAGACCCUGGAGUCUUCUAGAAGAAAAGCCACUUCCGGGAAUACAAUCACAACACAAGGGGUUGUGGGUGCGGUGGAGAGACGCUUCUCCUUUAAGAGGAGGCGCUGGCCUGCAAGCCCCACCCAGACCCCACAGAGACCAGGCUCUGUUCACCUGCAUGGGCAGCUCACACUGCCAAGCCUGAGUGCAGGACUCUCAUCUGUAAAGAGGAGACUUUGCCUCUUCCCUCAGGAUCUGUCUUCUCAACCUCGGGUUUAGACCCAGACUCCUUGUGUUUAUUCCCAGAAGAUGCAUCUGUGGCUCCAGGUACCAGCAUUGCCUUGGGUGACUCUGGAGAACCAAGCCUUCUUGCCCAGGUUCCUGUGGCAGUGACAACCAGCUGCUGACUGGAAGAUCCCAUAUCUGCACUGAGUGAUUGGGUGUCACUGUAUUAGUUACUGUGGUCCUUUGGAUAAAAUGACCCCCAUAUGCUUGCUCAUUUGAAUACUUGGUUCCCAGUUGGUGCUGUUUGGGCAAGCUUAGGAGGAGGGGCCUUGCUGGAGGAAGGAUGUCACUCGGAGCAUGGUUGGAGAUGUGAGCUCUCAGACAGUCCUGCUGCCACGCCUGGCAUUUGCUGACACGAUGAUGAUGGACUCUUAACUCUCCGAACCCUAUGCUCCAAAUAAACCUUCUGUAAGUUGCAUGGGGGUGAUGUUUUAUCAAGCAACACAAAGUAACCAAUCCAGUUACUUUCCCCAUCAGUGUGACUUAAUAUGCAACAAGCGGCAACUUAGGGAGGAAGGGUUUAUCCUGGCUUAUAGUCUGUAGGGAUACAGUCCACCACAUCGGUGAGGCUCACUGGAGAAGCUGGAGGUGGCUUGUUAUAUUGAGUCUACUGUCUGGAGAUGUUAGCGCCCAGCCUGCUUUCUCCUUCUUAUUCUGUACAAGACCCUUCCUGUGGAUGGUGCCACCCACAUCCAGAGUGAGUCUUCUCUCAGUUUAAACCUUUCAGGAAAUGCGUUCUAGAUGUGCCCAGAGCCGUUUUCGCAAAGACUCUAAAUUCCAUCCAGCUAGCGAUGAAGAUUACCCAUCACACUGCUGUGGCACCUCCACAUGUGGUCAUUCAUCAUCUAACAUCUGGAUACGUUCCAGAAACUGUGAUGUGAACAUACAGUGUGCUUCUGUGAACCUACAUGAUAUGGCCUGUGUUGCACAUGUGGUUAUGUGGUGCAUAGAAUCUGGACAUCGUGUGUGCAGUAUGUCCAUCAGGAGGCACAGUAGCAUGGGCUUGUGAGGGCAUUCUGGUAUGACACAGCCCGUGUUUAUAGCGCGUUUAUGUGUGUACUUGUGAUUUGUGAGACAGGUUCUCUGUACGUUGCAGUCUGACCUGGGACUUACUAUGUGGCCCUGGCUUGUCUGGGAUUCACAAUCCUCCUGCCUCAACUUCUGGGGUAGCUAUACUUCAGAAAAUAGUAUAUUAUGAAAUAAUAGAGAAUAUGACAUCAGCACAUAUAUUUCUAGCAGCUUUUGUCACUCUCGAGCAUUUUAUACUAUGCACAAUUACAGAUGCUUUUUUAACAUUAUUUGUUUCAUAUGUAUGAAUGUUGUGUCUGCAUGUAUGUGUGUGCAUGUAUGCAUGCAGUAUGUGUAGAGUCCAGGACAGGGAGUUAGGUUCCCCAGAACUAGAGUUAGAAACAGUUGUGAACCUCCACAAAGGGCCUCUGAAUCCUCCAGAAGGACAGUCAGGGUUCUUAACCUCUGAGCUGUCUCUCCACCCUGUCCAUGUUCUGAACUUUUAGUUCAUGUUCACUUACUUGCGUUUGCUGUACUUGAGGGGGAAACAAAACAAAGCAAAACAAAACAGGGUCUCGUGCAUUUGAAAUGAGUCACGUUGAGCCUCAUCCCCAGCCUUGUGCUGUGUGUGUGUGUGUGUGUGUGUGUGUGUGUGUGUGUAUGUGUAUGUUUGAGGACAUGAGACUGUGUGCGUGUGUGUGUAUGUUUGAGGAUAUGAGUGUGUGUGUGUCAUAUGUGUCGUGUGUGUGUGGUGUGUGUGUGUGUUUGAGGAUAUGAGUGUAUGUGUGUGUGUCAUAUGUGUCGUGUGUGUGGUGUGUGUGUGUGUGUGUUUGAGGAUAUGAGACUGUGUGUGUGUCAUGUGUGGUGUGUGUGUGUGUGGUGUGUGUGUGUUUGAGGAUAUGAGACUGCGUGUGUGUCGUGUGGUGUGUGUGUGUGUGUGUGUGUGUGUGUGUGUGUGUGUGUGUGUUGGGAAUGUAGGUUACUGGGGUUUGAUAUUAGCGCCCUGAGCCCACAGCCAAGCAUUUUAACACUGAGCUACAACCCAUUGCUUUCCAUGAUGUUUGUUUGUUUGUCUUUUCUAUGUAGGAGUGUUUUACCGAAGUACAUAAAUGUGGCACUGACAGACCAGAAGAGGGCGCUGGGUCCCUCAGAACUGGAGGAACCUCUGUAAGAGUAGCACCGCUCUUAACUGUGGAGCCCUCUCUCCACACUGGUGAGCUCAAGGUCACCUCCAUCCCCAACGCACACACGCGUGCACACAAAUUCUUACUUUGAGAUGAGGUCUCAUUGUAUUGCACAGACUGGCCUUGGAUUCACUCUGUAGCUCAGACAGGCUUUGAACUUGCCGUCCUCUUGCCUGCUCCCAAGGAGAAUGGGAAGUGUGGCGGCAGACAGCCGCAGGCCACAGGAGCUUGAGGCCUGCUCUCCCACCACUCCCCACUCCUCAGAGGAACAGGAAGCUGAGCCUAUGUCCUAGCAUCCAUCCCAGGAACUGGGCGAAAUCCAGCCUCUAACAGCAAACACGUGAGCUGGCGCCUUCUUGCCCUCCCAUCCGACUCCUCCCUGACACUGCUUCUGUACCUUCUGUCCCCACCAUAGCCUAGCCUUGUCCCUCCUUAUCCAGCCCUCCCUUCCUCUGAGGACCACAGCCCCUCACCACCCUCCCUGGUCUAGGAGCUCUGCUCCUCUGGCUCUAACAGCACAAACAGAACGGAAGCUCGUGUUCCUUGAUGGUCGGCGCGAGCCUUUGAGAACGUCCCCUCCCCCCCGUAACAUAAACUGUCACCUGGAGACUCAGAAGGCAAGUGUACACCCUGUGCUUUUAGAAAACCAUCCUAUUUCUUUUCUUCCUUGUUUUUUCAAAUCUACUUUUUUUUUUUUUUUUUUUUUUUUUGGUUCUUUUUUUCGGAGCUGGGGACCGAACCCAGGGCCUUGCGCUUCCUAGGUAAGCGCUCUACCACUGAGCUAAAUCCCCAGCCCCUCAAAUAUACUUUUAUUUUAUUUACUCUUCAUUACUUUAAAUCCGGGAUGGGUACAGCAUCACACGGAUUCUGUGUCCAGUGGCCUUUGCAGGAAGGCUGCUUCGGAAUUUGGCACGAACCAUGCCACAGUUUCCAUGGGCCUGAGUUACUCUUCCCCAUAUCCCUCUGGUUUUGUUUGGUUUGCCUCCGGGAGUCAUGGGCAUAAACACUUUCAAUUUUAAGAAGAGACCUGGAGCUGGAGAGAUGGCUCAGGGGUUAAGAGCACUGACUGCUCUUCCAGAGGUCCUGAGUUCAAAUCCCAGCAACCACAUGGUGGCUCACAGCCAUCUGUAAUAGGAUCUGGUGCCCUCUUCUGGUGCAUCUCAAAACAGCUACACUCUACUCAUAUAAGUAAAAAUUA